UGCAUAUUUUAUUAAAUAUUAUAAAUUUACUAUUUUUGGAAAGCAACAGCCGAUUUUUUUAUGACAAGAAGUUGGACAACUAUGACCCUGUGGUCUAUCUUUUGUUGUAUAGUAUAUAUACUAUAGAUACUUUGUUAUUAUUUUGACGUCUAUGCAAAAUUCCAUGCUAAACGUUAACAAAAAAGCAUACAAUCGCAAUUAUAAUGUUUAGGAUAGUACACAGUAUUUUAUUAAUAAUUGUAGUUACUUAACCAUAAAAACUAUUUAUUAAAAGUCGUCAUCAACCCAUAUUCGGCUCACUGCUGAGCUCGAGUCUCCUCUCAGAAUGAGAGGGGUUAGGCCAAUAGUCCACCACGCUGGCCCAAUGCGGAUUGGCAGACUUCACACACGCAGAGAAUGAAGAUAAUUCUCUGGUAUGCAGGUUUCCUCACGAUGUUUUCCUUUACCGAUUGAGACACGUGAUAUUUAAUUUCUUAAAAUGCACACAACUGAAAAGUUGGAGGUGCAUGCCCCGAACCGGAUUCGAACCCACACCCUCCGGAAUCGGAGGCAGAGGUCAUAUCCACUGGGCUAUCACUGCUCUUAAAAAAGCACAGCAAAGUUUAUUAAAAGUACAGCUACAUAUAAUACAGUUUCACGAGUAAGUCACCCGUGCCCAGGCAAUAUCAUAAAGUAAUAAUUGAAACGAAGUUCAAACGGUAUUUGUGAUUAAGUUUUGAUAAAGUGAUUGAUCGCCGGGAUAAACUGUAAAGUGAAAGUCAAUCCGUUUCGAUAAGAGAAUUUGAUUACAUCUCCUUGACCUUUAAUAACCUUUUUGUAAUAUUGUAAUACCUACUCCGAAUGUACCUUUUCAAUGAACCGCAGGCAACGAAACGGUUCAGAAUCUGGAACUUUAUUUGAAAAAGAAAUUAAUCGUAUUACUCUUUUCAAUGAAUUGAUAAAUGUUGAAAUUAUUAAUGAUAGCUUCGCUAUUAGCUGUCACAUAUAACUUGUUGUGGUUUCAUAAUAUGAAAGCCUAUAAUAUGUAUAAUGUAUGUAUGUACAAGUAUCGUUAAUAUGACGGCUUCAUAAAAAUUAAUAGAGUAAUUGUAAAUAUAUUGAUUGUGCUAUAAAAUAUAUAUGUGCUAUGAAAUUUAGCACACCGAUUUUGCUUAAAAGUCAACACGACUAUAUAAAAUACAUUGAAUUGACUAUAAUGAAUAAAAGUUGCGUCCCAAAGUAAAUAAAAUUGAUCUUAUUAAAUUUAUUACUGCUGAGAUCCAAAUGCAGUACAAUAACUCGUACCUAAAUGCAAUGUUUUACCCAUUAUACUAAUUUCUUUGUCCAACACAGCCGGUCGAAUACACCCCUAACCCUUUAUCGCCAUACGGUGUCUUCAAUACCGACUUUCACAUCCUUCCUGUUCAAAAUGUAUUCAUAACGCGACAAAAAACCUAAUGCGUAUCAUUUGACGGUUUUUUAGACAAUAGGCCGGUGUCUUUUGUGGGGUUAAAAGGAUUUUUUCAAAGGUCGAAAUUGGGUCGGAAGAUGCAACCGAUACUUUGCUUUUAGGGUCUCAGACCUUUAAUUUACUUUCUCUUUUUCACUCUGUUGUCGGGUGUUUCGAUUUGUAUCUGUUACUUCAUAAAUUUCUAACAUCGACUGUCAAAUGAAAUAUGUGAUUUUACUUAAUUGAGAACUUGUCAUAAUAAUAUUUUUAUUACGAAUAAAAGAAUUUAAUACGACAGCUUAACAUAAAGGCCAUUUGUAAAUCAAAACCAGAACAUAAAACCAGUCAUGUGUGGCAGCCAAAAUUUAUAAUGAUCUUUUUAGGAAUAUUAUUAAUUAAACCGACUAUAUAUCUGCUCAUCAUAAAUUCAAGUUUUUGUUUUAUAAAUUCUCCAAUAAACAUAAUAAAAUAAUAUUUUUUUUAAACUUGUCUAAAGUUGCCAAUAUAAUAUGUACUAUCAUUUGCUCUGAGUUGUCUUUAGAAUGAACUAAUUACUUUUUUAUAUUACUAGUUUAAAUAACGUCAGAAAAAUAGGAGUCAGAAAUCAAAAGAAGUUUAUAAAACAACAUUAUACAAUGCUAUUCUAAAGCGACUGCUUUAAAAUUCAAAUACUCUAGUAGAUACAUUAUAUUAUGACACAAAUAUCUUGUGGUACAAUGUACAAGCAUACAAUGUAUGAAAAAUACCAAUGUUUGCGGUAUAGCCUGUACAGAUUUAGAAACAAAGUAAACAUUUGAAACCUAAGUAUUCAUUUAAAAUUCCUUUACCUAUUAGUUAUAACGAUCUUGGUGUUAUUCAACGGCAAAAACGGCCACGAAGAGUCAUUAGCCAUAUAAGGGAUAAGAUAAGCGGAUUUUGAAUAACUACGAAACCGCACCGUUGCCCAACCGCGCUCGUUACUCAAGCUACAUUCACUUUCAAAGAGACUUCUUACAAACCACCAUCACAGUGCACCAUUGUUACCCGGUCCCUUAUCUCGGAACAAUAACGAGCUACCGUGCAAGAAUCAGAGAUACACCGUAUAAAGCAUCCCAUUGUAAAUAUUAUAAAUAUUAUGCUAAUGCGAUAAAAGGAAAUUUUUGACUCCGGAUCUAAACGACCAGGUGUUUCGUUGAAAGGGUUAAGCGAGAUUCAAAUGUCUUCCGACCCUAUUUUGAAUGUGAUCAUUUAUUAAGAUUUGGGUGUAUUGUUUAGUUUCUUAUUCCCAUAGUUGUGCGCGCACGGUUAAUAAUUUAUGUGGGAACAAUGCGAGUGAUAUAUUUUUUUAAUAUUGUAAUGCGUUCACGGGCUAUGGGUUAGAAUGGAGCCUCGGCUGAUCGUAAAUUUGUAUUCUCUAUGGUGAUUUCGUUGCGAGCUGUUAACUGACGUUUCGUGUAUACUUUGCUGAUAUUUGCUGACAGCCGUUGCUAAUAGCCUAUGGUGCUGAGUAACUUACCAAGAUUGCAGGUAAGUAUUUUAACUCAACUUAAUUCAGUAAUGUUUAAUUAUAACCAGUGGACCCAAUCAAGCUUUGCUUUGACAGUUACGCAAGCAACCAAACGCUAAAAAGCUGAAAGCUAUCGGCGACAAGGUUUUUGAACAAGAAGAAAUUGGAAGCUAUUUUGCCGUGCGUGAUGCGUCAAAUAUUCUUAUUUUUCUCGGUCAUUACUUUGAUGUUAAAUAUAAGUCAAAUAUUACAAAAUCAAGGCUCAAAUUAAAGCAUUUAAAUACUAUGCCCUAGAUUUUUGUUUCACAUGAUUUUUAAAGAAAUUUUUUAACAGAAAUUUAAGUAAAAAAGUAAGUUGCACAGUCCUCAAUACGUCUGUCUCUUUAAUGUCACAAUUAAAGCCACCCGUCCGCUGCAAUGAAGCCACUACGCAGUGUAACAAGUCAUUACUAAUUGAGGACAUCUGUCAUUAAAUAUAUUUCUUUAUAGAGCGAGGGUCAGUGGCAGCCAGACAUACUGCAUUUUAUUAAUGUAGAGUUUGUCAGGCCUUCCUUUUAGACCCCCUGGUGAAGCCGCUGAGGUCCCAUUAAGGAGCCUACGGCAUUUACACAAUUAGAAAGAGAAACAUUAUUUUAUCAUAAAAAAGUAUGGUAUGGUAGAAGCAUAGGUUGAAGUUUGUCCCUUCAAUCCCUUCGCUAGAUCUGUUUCCCGAAGGGUGAUCUAAUUUAUCAUAUUAUGCCGUGGUUAAAAGAUUGCUUUAUACUUGGACGGUUGAGGAUCUGAAUCCUUGGUACCAGCUACCUUCCAGAGCCGCAUCAGUCGAAACUUCAUAAUUGGGUAGUUCACUCAUAUGAAAUUUAAUAUAAACAACAUUAUUUUCGUGUACAAGGAAUAUGGGUCGAAAUAUAUCGAUAUCAAUAAAUAAAAGUUAAAGAUUUCUUAUAGGUAAAGCUUAAUAUAAAUAUCACGUAUUUUUUCCAAAUGUUCCGAACAUUAAAAACGCUGUCGUCCAUUUUGUGACGUCACUAACAGACUUGAUUUACUAAACGUCGAACUAAUUGUUAACUGAUAUUUUUGUCAAACGUUACGUUUGCAAGGAAUUUGUUAAAGUGGCGUCUUGAAACAGUUGAAAUAUAGACCGUCGUGGCCGACAGGCGUUUUAGCUCGUAUUUUCCAAAAACAUAUUUAAAAACUAAAAAUUUCACGUCUCAAAAAAAAUAUGAUUUUUUUUUCAAUCUAGAAAUUAGAACGAUUAAUGAACUAUUUAAGAACAUUUAAAAAAUUGUCAACUACCCUAUUGAUUAACGUACCUGCGUAUGGUAGAAGCAUGGACUGACAAAUCAACUUUCAUAUAACCGAGGUAUGUAUGACCACGGCAGGCCCUUAUUCUUACAAAGGAACACUAACAGAAACGUUCGGCCUACCGAUUUGGUAAGUGGCGUUAUUUUCCGCACAUCGGUAUCGGGCCUAAUUGCGUCAUUAUUGUCGGGAAAAAAAUAUUAUUGCACUCGCAAAAGCAACGGUAUGUACAAUUUUCUACCUUUGUAGUUUUGUAUCGUGCUGUCAGCAGUGUUGCCAGUUGUUAACAUGCGCAUGUCCCGAAUUUUUUUCACUUUUGUGUCAUGUCCCGUUUUACCAGUGAUUGGUUGAAUGUUCUGAUUUACCUUCAGUAUUGUGCAGUUAGUAGUGUUGCCAGUUAUCAACGUACGCAAAAUAAAUGUUCCCAGUUCGGAAAAAACAGCGCAAUCGUACUGAAUUUUGAAUGGAAUUCGUUUUUAUUCUGGAUUAACACAUAGACUACUAUGCCACGCGGAAGAAGAUGCGGGCGUCCGCUAGCUUAUGCGUUUUUUUUUUAGGUUUUUCUUUGUAUUGAGUAUUUCUUUCUUCUCAGUUAAGAUUUUACCCGGAGAUGGAAAUUAGUGGUGUCACAACCUGUGCACCUUAAGCCGUCGAUCCCGGUCAUUAUCAUUAAAAUCUUAUAGAGAUUAUUAAUGAAUCAUUAUCGCCGCAUUAACAUCAGUGAUCAUUAUCACCGCCAACCCACAAUGGACAAGCGUGGUGCGUGUUAGCUCUAUAUCCUCUCUUCUACAAAGAGAGCUUAAAAUAGGCUGAUAAUUAUGAAUUACCUUUUAUUUUAAAUUUUAAAGUUAUUAUUAAAACUUUGUGUAAAAGGUAAAGUUUUUACAUCGAUGGGUUGUCGGUAGUUUACAAAACUCAAGUUCAUGAUUUGUUUACAGUGAACGUUCGAAAUUCAAAUGUUGAUCGUAUAAGUAAAAUAUAACUAUAACACACAUUGUAAACAUACAAAAAAUAAUAAUCACCACACGCGUUACUUAAACAAGUGUUAACCCGGCAAGAAUUUCGACUUUAAAAUGAUCUUUUUUAUCACUUUACCUAGGUACUAUUAAAUUAUUAUUUUGUGGUAUUAAUAAGUCUGAAGCUUGGGUUAGGUAUAAUUUAAAACACUAUUUGUACGUUUUUAUUGCAUUGAUACUGAGGAUCUGAAAAUAUACCUAUUUGGAUUCAAUCGAAAGUCAGGUCUAAUUUAGCUUCCAAUAAAUAUAGACACUAAAUAAAAGUUUCUAAAAAAAGAAUAUUAUUCCAAUCACAUGUAAUUCAUUCAAUUAAUGCAUUUACACACACUUACGCAACGUAAAAGUUUCGAAAUUCGAAUUAUCGAACUUUCCGUUUUCAAAUUGAUAGAUAGCAUUUGAAUUGGAAACGUCCGCGGCAAUUAGAGGGCUAUAAUUUAAAUUUUAGUACACUUUCACGUACGGCAACAAGUAAUAACAAGCAAGACGUACCUACGUAUGUACGUACACAGAUGGCCGCGGGCCACAGCUGUUUCUUCACUAUUCUUAUGCAAAACAACCGUCAUUGUGUUACUAAACCUGUGUAGUAAUAAGCGUAGCUGCCUAGUGUUAUUUGUACCCAUUGACAGCUAUAGGGCUGUUCCAUUUUUGAAUUUUUAAAAUCUUUCGAACACUGCCUCGUUGGGUUUUUUAAAUUCUUUACAAGUUACUACAAUGUCAACUGAUUUUAAGUGAUGAUGCAGUCUAAGACUGAAGCUGGUUAACUUGUUAGGAGGAGUAUGAAAAUCCACACACCUUUUCGGUUUCUACACGACAUCGUACCGGAACGCUAAAUCGCGGUACGUCUUAAGCGGUGAUAAUUAUCCACGACCGAAGCCUCCCACCAGCCAGACCUGGACCAAUAAGAAAAUCUCAAUCGGCCCAGCCGGGGAUGAAGGCCGAACCCAGAACUACCGUUUUGAGAAUCCACCGUCGUUGUAGUUUGGUGCAAAUUCAAUUUGUAAGAAAUAUUUCUUGUUUCAAAAGAAUAUUUUAUCGAACAAAAUUUUUUUUUUUUAAUCCUAAGUUAUUUAUAGAAUAAGUCUCUGCUGCUCUAUGAUUUAAACGUUCUUUUUUUAUAAUUGGUGAUAAUUUAUUUAAAUUUUUUUCAUGUUUUUGUUUUAAUAGGUUAGAUAAUUGUUUGGAGCAAUCAACAUUAAUUGUUUAAUAGUUUCAACAAUUCUUAAGUGUAAAUAUUUCCAAAUUAGUGACAAAAUAUCUAUGCAUUACUACUCAUAUUAAAAAUAUUAUUAUGUAGGUGAAGUAAUGAGUAAUAAUAAGUCGUUAAAUAUUUAACAGCACUUUUGAUGAGUUUAUGAAUCUGUAUAUUUUUUUUAUAGAAAUAGUGCCAUAUUAAAAAAUAUUAUUUAAUCAUUACAAUAUGACCUUACUGUCUAAUUAAGGGCACUCUGUUGUAUUUAUUUACAUAAAAUCCAUCAUAGGUAUUAUUAAUUUAAUAAUUUACUUGCGCGUGCGUCAAACAAGCGUCAAACAAAUUAAUAACUUAAAUUAAUUUUAAUUAAGUACUCACGUCGUUUUUCCCAUUACAAGUUACUUUUUAAAGUAUUUAAUAUUUAUACGUAUAUGAAGUAAACUAAUUUGUAAAAAAAACUUUUACUCAAGUUAAGUUACUUGUAAGUAUUAGCACACAUGUCUCCACAUUAAAAUACAAUUUAAUUUAUUUGCUUCCUCAAUAAAAGUUUAUAUGUGAUAAUUAAAGUGAAUGUGUGGCCACACGCGGCGACAUUGGCCCUUUACUGUCUAGGGCCCUGGGCACACAAUUCGGGGCCCUAUUAGAAAGUUCCAACUUUUUUAUUUUUUCGGCCCUUAUCAUAGUAUGAAACAUUUGACAUGGUUUUCUAUGCAAGGGCCCUUGGGCUAACUAUUUGGGGCCCUAUAAAAAGUUAUUUUUACAUUUUCGGUCCUUUAUUUUUACAGUUUAUAAUUGACAUACGUACUUACAUCUAACCAGUGUCAUCUUGGCUAUGCAUCGGCCCUUGGGCUCACAAUUUGGGGCCCUUGAGAAAGUAAACUUUAAUUCAUAUAUUUGACCAUUUAGGUAGGUACAUAGGUAGUCACAGUAGAAUUGACAACAAACUAGAGCCUUUAAAAUCAUGCAGAGGUCAUUGAACAUAUGGGGCCCUAUAAGUAAAUAAACUUGUAUUAUGUUAUUGAUUAGAGUAGGUACAUUUGUCAUGAAUCACUAGGGCUUUAAUUAUUUAUUCAGCCCUGAACAAAAUACUACGUAAACUUAGAUUUUAUUAUGUAAGUUAUUACUCAACCUAAUUAUAACAUACCUUCGUGAUAUGUCAUGUAUGUAAUUCUAAAUCAAACGUUUCAUAUUGUACAAUGCGUGACAAAGUGUAUACAAUUGUAUAAAUAAAUUUUUUUUUUUUCUAAAUUAUUGCGUCGCGGUUUCCAUCCAAUCCGAGCAAUUAUAUCCAGAUAAUUGCAGCUAAAGAAUUUAUCUAAUCGCCACGCGGUCCUUAUAUGAUGGGUAGUAUUUUAUAAGGUAUUUCGUUAUUAACAUAUUAAGGAGUUACAAGAAACUCUUCGAUGAUCGUUGUACUUAUUUCCAAGACAUCAAGUAACGUUCUAGUAAAUAAUUACGUAAAAAUAUCUAACUCUAAUAAUAUCAAACGAUUCGAUCAUUAAUUUAAAAUUCCGUUCGAUUUUUGAAUUUUACUCAAAGCAAUACCAACAAUUAUAGGUUCAAUAUUCGAACAUAGCGAAUGAAUUAUGGAUUGUUUGAAUUCAUUUACUAAAUGAAUUGUAUGGAUUUACAACGUUCGAAUUUUAAAAUUAAAUGAAUUCGACAUGGAGUUUUAAAUUGAAUGUGUUAUUGAUUUAUAUUUUUGGUAUAAACAUUCUUAGCUCCAUGUAGAAUUGUACUUUAUUGAGUUUUGUUUCUGUAUUUAUUUUUAUUUUAUGUACAUUUGUCUUGAUACUAAUAUAUAAAGACCUAUGUAGUCUCAUAAGUACAUAAAUUAUUAUUUCAUUGUGAAUGACUUAUUAUCAAGUAAUUUAUUUAUGUUCUCAAGCUCAGAGGCCCUCGAAAUCUCACCAGAAAAUGUCAAUAUAACUAUGACUUGAACUGUGCACAAAAAGAGCUGAUGAUAAAGUAGCUUAGCAUUUUUGUAGUAUAUUUUGUAUAAUUAUACGUGAUAAAACCUCACUACUUAAGAUAAUAGUGGGUCCCAUUUUUUAUUUGCACCAGGGCCCUUGGUUACCUAGCUACGCCACUGAUUCUACGCAUAAAAAUGUGAAGAAAACAGCUCUAUAAUAAACAAGGCACUUUUUGCGGCAAGCUUGAAUGCAUACAAAACGACGUAAACUCGAUGAACGAAUAUUAAUAUCGAUGAAAGCAAAGGCCCAUACAGCCCCGCUCAUUCCUAUGGGAAUGAAGUCGUAAUGCCAUUUGCAAUUGUGUGGAAAUAAAUAAAUACGCGGCGGCAGUCACGCCACCCCGUUCGAUCCAUCACGGCGCGGGCGUGUCGGGGAAUGACGUCGACGUGGACUAAUCGCUCCCCCACUGAUAAAUGCGACGCCAUCUUGGAUUUUCUCUUUUUAUUUUAUUUUUUUUCACAUUCGCUGCGCAAACGCAACCCGCCUGUGCUAAUUAAGUUGCCUUGUUUGGUUUGAAUGAUCGCAUGCAGGAGCUAUAUAGAGCGAUCUUUGUGUUUGCAUGUUUAAAUAUUUGCAUCGCAAUGAUAACGAUUGUGUUCGACAGCAUGGACUUAUAGAAUAGGCAGACGGUAUCUCGCUGUCAAGCAAUUGAAGCACCCUAAUGGUCGGGAGUCUCUCUGAAGGAUAAAAUUUAUUGACGGAAAUUAUUAAUUGACGUAGCACAAAGGAUUAGCAAACUGAACUGGCAGUGAGCGGGCCAUAUCUGUCGCAGAACAGAUGGGCCGUUGGGGUAGAGGUGUUCUGGGAACCCACUUAGUAAGCGCAGUGUAGGACACUCUCUAGCUAGAUGGUCCGACGACAUCUAGAAGGUAUUGGGAAGUGGCUGGAUGAGGAAGGCGGAGGAUAUUGUGUGGUGCGCUCUAGAAAAGGCCUAUGUCCAGCAGUGGACUGUACAGGCUGAUGAUGAAUGGCGCCGAGUAUCUAUGUGUGAAGUGUAUUACUGUACGUCAGCUGUUUUUGAUGAGUACUGUUUACCAACAAAUAAAUUAGGAAUGAAGGUAGAAACGCAUGUCAUUUCAUAACUUAUUUAUUUUAAAUUAUGUAUGGCUUGUUUAUAAAAUGAUAUAUAAAAUACAUUAACCAUAUAUAAUUCUAAGCUAACUAAUCAAAUUUAUUUUCAUUAAUUUAAGAACAAUUUAAUUAUAAUUUUUAUUAGAUGUGAAAUGACUAGUGAUUUAUACCCUCAUUUUUAAUUUGUUUGUUAGUAAACAGUAUUCAUCAAGAAAUAUGUAGGAAAUUAAUGGCGUUCUGUCUUCAAAAUGUGCAUCUGUGUGCGUAAUUGGGGUGCGUCUCUCUUUAGUUUUAGAGAUGGUAUCUGGACACUUUAUUACGUCUAUGUUCGACAGAUUUAAAAUUGUCUUUAUCGCACCGUCACGUGUACUUACAUCCUUAUCUCGAACACUUCAAUGGAUUGCUGACACGUGUAUUGUGAAAAUUUUCUCAAUGUCAGCGAAAUUUUAUUAUCGCUUGUUUUCUUUUACGUAACAUUUUGUGAGUGAAAACUUGACUUUUAGUUACACUUAUCUUUUUUUAUUACCUACUUAGAUAGAUAACAUGUUUCCUGUUAUUUGAACAUUUUACACAAAUAAAUAGACUAACACAAACAAACAUACAGAAAAGACACAAAAUUACGCUUUGGCUUUCUUACGAUUUUAUCAUUAAAACUUCUAAAUAUCCUAACCAGGACAGUAGCGCUACUGUGGCGAUCUUAUUACAACUCGACAGAGAAUUGAAUUAGGGACUGUCUUGAAUUUGAAUCACACUUAGUUAUAUAAACAUCAAACAACUAUGGGACAUAAAUACUCUUCUUGUUUUUAAAUCACAUCAUUCGCGGUACUUACGAAUAUAAAAUAAUUUAAAAGUAAGUAAAUAAGCAAGUAAGUAAAAAAAAAUAAUUUUCGUUGUUGUAAAAUAUUAAAUGGUUUUAUAGUAAACAAAUGCAUUUAAACUUAUAGCACUUUUGAACUAAACUCGUUCUGUCUAGAACAGAAAAUAUAAUUCAAGAUCAUAGACAAGACCAUAGAUUGAUCUACGCAUAGUGUAAAUGUGAUUAAGAUCUUUGUUUGAGUAUUUAGCCUCUAUCUAUUCAUAUUGAAUUAAACCGGUCGUAGCGGGUACCUACUGGUUGACUCACAUUGCACCAAUACCCUUAGUGCGAAUAUCCAUUACGAAUAGUCGUUUUCGAAUUUCGAAUAACGAAACCUUCUCUACGCAUAGUGUAAAUGUGAUUAAGAUCUUUCUUUAAGUGUUUAGCCUCUACAGUGCUAUUCAUAUUGAAUUAAACCGGUCCUACAGGGUACUGGUUGACUCACGUUGUACCAAUACCCUUAGUGCGAAUAUCCAUUGCGAAUCGUCGUUUUCGAAUUACGAACCCCGAAACCUUCUCUACGCAUAGUGUAAAUGUGAUUAAAAUCUUUGUUUAAGUAUUUAGCCUCUACAGUGAUAUUCAUAUUGAAUUAAACCGGUCCUACAGGGUACUGGUUGACUCAUAUUGUACCAAUACCCUUAGUGCGAAUAUCCAUUGCGAAUAGUCGUUUUCGAAUUUCGAAUAACGAAACCUUCUCUACGCAUAGUGUAAAUGUGAAUAAAAUCUUUGUUUAAGUAUUUAGCCUCUACAGUGCUAUUCAUAUUGAAUUAAAUCGGUCCUACAGGGUUGACUCACGUUGUACCAAUACCCUUAGUGCGAAUAUCCAUUGCGAAUCGUCGUUUUCGAAUUUAGAACCCCGAAACCUUCUAUACGCAUAGUGUAAAUGAGAUUAAGAUCUUUCUUUAAGUAUUUAGCCUCUACAGUGCUAUUAAUAUUGAAUUAAACCGGUCCUACAGGGUACUGGUUGACUCACGUUGUACCAAUACCCUUAGUGCGAAUAUCCAUUGUGAAUAGUCGUUUUCGAAUUUCGAACAUCGAAAACUUCUCUUCACAUAUGAUUAAGAUCUUUGUUUCGUAGGUAUUGAAAAAACGUGUUGUCGUAUCUAUUGGUUACUUACGUUGUAAGUAUCUUUGGUGUGAGAAGUUCACGAUUAAAAACAGUCGUUUUCGAAUUUGGAACACCGAAACCACUACCUGUGUACUUAAAUCUGGUUAUUGUUUCACCUUUAGUGUGAGAUUUCCAUUCGAAUAUCGAAAUUAAUAGACUGAAAGAGAGCCUCGCCCUGUACAAUCCCAACCCAUUAAAAAUAUAACGAGAACUCGAAAACGGUAUAGAGUGAAAAUCUCGUACUAAGACAGGAGAGUAGUUUGUACCGCGUUACGCAACGAGCUCAUGAAUAAGGACGACGGAUGAGUUUUAAUCUGACCAAAUCGAUGAUUAUAACCGGUUAAAUUUAUAUUAGAUAAAUGUUAGUCUCAAUUAAGUGCUACUUACUACUUAUAUAAUUUUCACUUAUUCAUACUAUAACGGUUAAAAAAAAUUUAGUGAAAAUAAACAAGAUCACUAAAAAGGAAUUUAUCUGUAUGUUUACGUAUUUCCGCGACUUUCUGAAAAUUACGAAUUCAUUUAGUAUGGGGUUUUGUAUAUGUAUAUAAAUGCAUAUUUUUCAGGGAAAAUUUUAGUACGAGUAAGUAGCUAGGUAUACUAUUUUGUGAUCGGAUUCUUUCAAAGAUGUUAGAAGUUGUAAGAUUUAUAUAGCUGGUAAAAUAAUUAUAAAUAUGUUUAUAAAGCUAGUAAAAUUCUCUGGUAUGCAGGUUUCCUCACGAUGUUUACCUUCACCGUUUGAGACACGUGAUAUUUAUUUUCUUAAAAUGCACGUGCAUGCAAUGCAGUGAGAGCCGUGGUAGCCCAGUGGAUAUGAUCUCUGCCUGUGAUUGCGGAGGGUGUGGGUUCGAAUCCGGUACAGGGCAUGCACCUCCAACUUUUCAGUUGUGUGCAUUUUAAGAUGAACAAAAUAAGAAGCGAUAUUAAUUGGUGAUACCUUAUACAAAAAGUUAUGAAGGUACCUUCGUUUGUCGAAGGAGACAAAGCGAUGCCGCCACCUGAUACCCACAAGUCUCACACACCUCCCGUAUGUUUACGAGUAUGUACAGGUUUUAUCUGCCAAUCGUGGAAAAUAUUCGCGAAACCCGCUUUUUGGGAAGCCGACAAGACUACUUGCUUCAUUAUUUGAGAUUGGCAUCAGUUAGUACAGUUAUUUAACUUAGUAACAGUUUUUUUUACUUAGUUAAACAACAACAACAACUUAGUAACAAUUAAGUUAGUAAUUUUUCUCCAUUUCGUGGUAAAUUUGGAAAACCUUGCGAUUCCGGUGUUUUAUACUCGUUGACGAACUUUUCGCCUACAACACGUCUUAUUUGAACUUUAUGUUUAUAGGAAGCCAAAAUCAAAAUGUUACCAACAACGAAGUUGCCAUGGAAACGAACUCAUGUCACUCUCUACGUAGGUAAUGUUUACAGAAUCGCUACUUAUAGGUAGGUAGCCAUUUAGUAACAUAACAGAUAACUAGUUAAAAUUUUAUAGUUCUUAUGUUUUACUCCGUUCCGAGACACUUAUAAAACCUUCUUAUUAAUAAGUCGACUGCAGUAUUUGCUCUUUUUUACUUGACUAGUAUCACGGUGAUACUAGAUCAUUACAUACCUUCCAUUACAUCCAUUAUUUCCAUUACGGUGAUUCUAGAUCAAUACAUAUUUCAGAUCUGAAACUCUGCAAUUUGUUUUUGAAGUGUGUUCCAUACCACACAAAUGAAAUUUAAACUUCUUUAGCGCUCCCUCUCAACGUUCGUUACGUCCGAUUACAUUUUUCGUAACGCAUUCAUAGCUCACUAUAAGUCAAGCGUAAAGAAGUUUUAUACUUAAAACUCUUUAAAGCAUUAUAAGACAUCAGUUUCUUGUCAUAGUGCUAAAAGACACCAACAGUUUACAAUAUAGGAAAGUCAGAGUAUUGUAAUAGUCAACAUACUUACAAGUACUCGUAAUAAUACAGUUUGGUAACAACGGAAGCCAUUAAGGAGCUCGUGCUGUACGCAACACGUUACGCGUCUUGUACAUCGGAAAUUAAUUCACAAAUACCUCUCCGCCGUUAGGCUGACUUCCAUGUAAAGCGAUGCGAUGGGUAUUGUUUCAAACAGCAUUAAAAAGUAUUAAUAAGCUUACCUCUCCAGCUUUGACUGGCUUCCAUCUAAAGCGAUGCUAUUAUGACGAUAAUAAAUCAAAAAAAUCCUAAAAGUAUUAAUAUAAGCUGCCACAUACUGACCCCAACGUCCCCUUCUAGAAAAAAUUAACAGAGGAUAUUAUUUACGAUCUAAACGAUGACAUCGCUACAUACUUUCAGCCAAGACAAAUUUUUAGAUGGCAUCUCCGAUUAAGACAGGCUCCUAGAUAUACAACGUCAUUUUGACGGGAGUGUCAGGAAUGACCUUUGAUACAAUCCGCAAAUGCCAAUGCCUCUCUUAACCUAAGUCUCGUUAAAAGCUCUCUAAGCCUAGGUCCCAACAACAAACGAUUCCUCGCCUUCCAAUAUUCAAAUGUAAAGGAUUACUUUGUGACACAGUUUGUCUAAAUAAAUAUCGCCGUGAAGCAUUGCUGUGUGCCGAUCUCCAAGGUAUAUAUACUUGCAACGAAGUUAUAGAUGUACACAUUCUUCUCGUGAUUUUCUACUUCACAUCAGCAAGCCUAUUCACUAUUUUGGUAUUUAAUAACAACCUAUUAAAACAACCAUCAAAUCAAUUGACAAAAUAAAAACCAAGGUUGUCAUCAAAUCAAUUGACAAAAUGUAUACUAUAUACCUACUAUAAGAUAUCCACCAGUAGCCACCGGAUGACAUUUGUUACAUAGCAUCUUAAUUUCCUAAUAUGUCAACUAGCAUACGUCAAAGAUAGUGAAUUAGCCUGCAGGUGGAUUAUCUGAUUGUUUUAUUAUUAAUAAAUAUGAAAUAAAACAAAGCUUAUUAUAUCUCUCGUUACGCAUUUUCUAUGGAAUGCCACCCUAAUGUAAUGACGAGUCUUCGAUAAAACGUGCCACGAGGAAAAACCGAGAGUGUUGCAACAAACAAAUAACUUACAAAUAACUCGUGUAGGUAUAUGAUACCUACCUAAAUUACGUAUUCAAAUAUAUAUGCAGUCGCGAACGACUUUGGCAUGACCUUCAUAGUUCAAAUCGUAUCAACACAAACACUGAAUGGUCAUUUAAAUAAUAUUAGUCGAUUUUUUUUUUUUUUCGAUUUUUCAUAUAAGGUUCCCAAUCGACAUCGAAUUAAAUCGACUAAGGAAUUGACUAUUUUUUUUUAAUAAUAUUACUUAAUAAACCUAUGUAUAUUAUUGCGUUUCGGAAACGAAACAGACGAAUUAGAUAAAACUUUUAAGUGUAUUUAUUACGUGUAUUCUAUAUUCUUCUGUCAUGUAUAAAUAGCAAUACAUAGAAAUUGAUAUUACCUUGAAACGCAUAGAAUUACGAUCAUCAAAAACGAAAAAAAAAUGUGAAUAUACCCACCAUAUGACUCCGAAUAUGUUCAGUUUCUUUUUCCACCGUUCCAAAUUCAAAAUACUUAUUAAUAUCGAAUAACACAAUCCUUUCAAAAAUCGAACGGCUUUCUUUAUUUAACCCUUCUUAGCCGCAUGCGAUCAAAUUAACCGACCUCUCCUCAAUUUGAAAAGGGAAAGAAAUAGGUUAUAACCUAUUUUCGAGAGCGGCAAAAAAGGAUACCUGCACUUAACCUCCAGCAGAGUGGGCCUGUCAGACCAGAUAAGUGCUUAGGGCAGUGGUACACUGAGCUUUGAUAAGCUGUAUUUCUACGAUUUAAGCUGGUGGGAUUUGCGGGUUAGAUUGUAACUUACCAAGGUAGUUACAAUCUAACCCUUAAAAACGUAGCGUAACGUACAAUGCCUAGAAACUUAGUUUAGAAUGUGGGUAGUACAAUUGCUUACAAUUUACGCAAGUUUUGAACUGCAUCAUCGCCUUAUCAUCAGCCAUGAUCGAAGUCAAGUAACUUUUCCUUUUUAAUAUUUUUUGUACAACGAAAAUAGAACCUGGUCCACACCUACACUAAAACGUUUUCUGAAAAAUAUGAAUUUUAAAUAACUAAUUCCAUAUCCAUCAGAUCAUAAAUAUUUUUGAGAAAAUAGUGUACAUUACAAACAAGUGAUACAUUCAUAUCUAUUACAUUUAACAUCCUUUUUUGGAAUUAAAAAAAAAAUCAUCGUACUUUUGUUUUUAAAUGUGAAGUUGCAUUGAAUAAAAUCCUUGGUUUAUUUAGGGUCGAGUGUACCCACAGCUUCAUCCCACUCGUAUCUUCCACGAUUUCAAAGGAUCGUAUUAUUUACAUUUUUUUCCCUCAAAAUAUGGAACAAAAAAGGGUAAAGAAUAAAUUUGAGCGCUCACCAAAUGUCCCCGCGACAGGUUGGGUCGGGUAUUUUCGAAUUUAUGAACCGAACUUUUAUUUCCGACAGCCCGUGAUCGGAUACAUGUACGUAUGGUACGGAUUUUAAUCGAUUUCGGACGUUUUUUGCGCGUUAUAUUCGAAUAAGAGAACCGAUAAUAAACCGAUAUGCGAUCGUUACUUUGCAAAUAUUCAAAUGCAUUUAAAUGGUUUUGCAUUUUUUUUUUGGCUGGACUGCAAUUGUUUCGAGGUCUUUGAAUGUGAUUUUUUUCAAAUGUUUUUUUUUUGCAAUGAAAUAAGGUUUCAUUGCACAGAUGCCCAACUCGUGUCAGUGCGUUGUAUUUUUUUUACCGAUUACGGACUGUUCUUUGUAGUUUUAUUAUUUUGAAACUUUGUAUAUAUACGUAUGCAGUACCAAGAUGUUUAGUUGCAAUGAUAUCAUGAAUAAUAACAAUUAUAAAGCCAACGAAGAGUUCUCUCGACAAUUAUUUGUGACUGUUCGUUCUUGAAAGUAUUACCUCCAUCGUUACUUCUUUUCUAUAGAAGGUAAUAGACGGAAUAAGUAAGUUAAUUAAGUACUUAAUUAAGUAGUUAGCUAGCGAGUCACUAGUCACUACGAAGUACAAACAAACAAACCUGGCAUUUCAAAAGUAAUUGUAAAUUAAGUCUAUUUAAAAUAAAUGAAUUUUAAUUUUUUUUUUAAUUUAGUUCUCUGCUCUUCUGCUCUGUUAUAAAGAGUUCUACCACUACAAAACUUCUGCUGAAAGCAAUCCUUUUUUUUUAUUGUUUGCAAGUUAGCCCUUUAUUACAAUCGCACCUGAUGGUAAGUGACGAUGCAAUCUAAGAUGGAAGCGGGCUAAUUUGAUAGGAGGAGGAUAAAAGUCCACACCACCACUUUUCGGUUUCUACACGACAUCGUACCGGAACGCUAAAUCGCUUGGCGGUACGUCUUUGUCGGUAGGGUGGUAACUAACCAUGGUCAAAGCCUCCCACCAGCCAGACCUGGACCAAUUAAGAAAACCUUAAUCGGCCCAGCUUGGGAUCGAACCCAGGACCUCCGUCUUGUAAAUCCACCGCGCAUACCACUGCGCCACGGAGACCGUCAAAAAAAACUCCAUAUCAUAUUGCAACGGAAGAAGUGAUAGUAUAUUAGCUUUAUAUACAUCAUACAUAUGAGCAGUUAGCAACAUAUAUCAUAGCAAUAGUUGUCAAUUAGAUUAUUUCUUAUCACGCCUAAGUCUGAAUACUUCACACGAUCUCGGCUGAUCUAUUUUAAAUUACAGCGCCCAUAGUUUUAGUUGAUCGCACAUCAGGUCAAAGUAAUAAAACGUGACUGACGGAUAGCACGCACCGCACGCGCCGUUAAGAGAAAAAAAUAAUUGUAGUCUAGUCUUCUUUUAUAGGACAAAUGUGUCACGUAUAUCGUGAUUGAUUGAAAAAGACAAGUACAUACUAGUUUGUUGGUAGUAUCGCUUGUAUUAAUGUAGGUUUUUCAGUCACAAAGACGUGCAAAUGUCUGUUCAGUUACUUUUUAUGAAAAUAGAUACCUUUUAUGAAGAAAUAAUUAUUCAUUAAUAAAUUUCAAUUAUCGUUGUUUUCAAUGAAUAUGCUACGCAUUUAAAACAUCGAAUAGACGUAUUUAUUUUGCGGAAAUUCAUUCAUUAUGGGUAACGAUUAAGAUCUUCUAAAAUCAAUUCCUGAGAUUGUAAGGAAUAACUCAUUUAUUUUGUUACUCUCACAAAUUAAUAAAAUAAAUGAGUUAUUAAUUGGUUUCUAUGACCACAACAGCGAAUACAGCAUACUUUGUUGAAUACUAUAAAUGGGUGCGGCGCGUGCGUCUAGAAUACGCGACCAGCUUUAUACGCCAGCUAUUUGCUAUCUGCAAUUUCAUAGAAAUCUGUUUCUUAUGGCAUAAUUAUUUGAUGUCGUUUUUCUGUGAACCACCGAGCGAUGUUUCACAGAAGUUCGUGUGAAUGGAUCUACCUGCUACGACGAGAUAUGCGGACGGCUUUAUGCAGGAGAUGAGUUGUGACUCUUAUAAGUAAACGGUUCACUCAAUAGGCACAUACCCGUCAAAACUGACGAAUUCUACAGCAUGACAUAUAGUAAGGCAUUCAAAUGCUGAUAAUGAUGAUGACACAUCGCAGGGUACUUGUCUUAGAAAAAAAAUAAUAAAAAUUAAUUAUGAAAAUAAAAAAAGAAACAUCUUACAAUACUAAAUCUAGAAGUAAUUGCUGCGUCCUUCCGUAUUUUCUUCGAUAAUAACUUCUAAAUUAAUAUAUUAAUAAUCAAUAACUAAAUUCUGUUACGGUACGUACAUCUAAAAGAAAUUAAUAACAACUUUAUUUAAAUAAAUAAAAUGCAUACAGCCGUACAUAGACCCUUUCCUUUUUGAAAAUCACUUAUUUGUAGUUUGUGUAAAAAUUUAAAUAUCCUAUUAGGUGCAUGUUGCAUAACACCAUUCCUCAGCACCUGUUCCGUAGGGCCACUCUAGGCAAAAAAAACCUUUUGAACGUUUUUUGUAUUAAAAAACAAGUUUAAAAAAAAUAAACCGUGGGAUACGUUCGUUUAUAAAUAUUAAAGCGUAAGAUUGUUUAUUGAAAUGAAGUGAAAAAAACUUAAAAUGGAAUAAAAAAAAUCGUAACUAAAGGGUCAAGUAUAACUAAAGGGUUGUUCAAGUAGAUAAGUAGUUGAAGUCAUCGUUGUAGGUUUUUGGUACAUGUAUUACUUACGAGUAAUCGAAUAUAAAAUAUAUACUUGGUCAUACUAAAUAUACUAAAUACUAAAUAGAUACUUGGUCAUUUUCUAACGUAAAAGUAUUUAUUUUUUAUGUUCACAUUUUCACGCUAUCUUUAUUUCUUUAUCUGACACCGAAAUAAUUUUUCAAAUCGAACCAGUAGUUCCUGAGAUUACCGCGUUCAUACAAACAAACUCUUCAGCUUUAUAAUAGCAGCUGACGCCACACGGUUUCACCCGCGUGGUUUCCAUUCCCGUAGGAAUACGGGGAUAAUAUAUAGCCUUCCUCCAUAAAUGGGCUAUCUGACGAAAGAAUUUUAAAAAUCGGACCAGUAGUCCCUGAGAUUAUCGCGUUCAAACAAACAAACUCGUCAGCUUUAUAAUAUUAAAAUAGUAUAGAUUCUACAAAAACAUAAAUCUCUAACCAGAUAUUCUACUUAUACAGAUAAUACACUUAUUGUUUAAUCCAAAUAGUCAUAGAGGCGUAUUAUAAAAAUAAAAACUAAUUUUUAAAAGGCCAUUAAGUCACUAAAAGCUAUUUCCUUCUUCCUUCCAUAUUUUCUUUUGUUUUAAUUGUUAAUUACUACGGGUAGAACAGAUACUUAUCUUAUAUAUUAGUAAUAUUGAUAUGGUAAUUUUUCAAUUAAUUAAAAAAACAAUUUAGAUAGGCUCAAUUUAGUUUGAAUUCCCAAACCUCAAUGUUCGUAUCAACUGAUAAACAACUCAACAAAAUUGAAAGAUAAAAAUACUUACGCGUAUGUUAGCUCCGAAGGAAAAAAAACAAAACUCCGCGACCGGUUCCUAAUUACUACCAUAACUCCGAUUCGUGUUCUCGAGACAUUUUAGCAAAAAAGAGUCCACUAAUCGCACUAAAAGGAACAGUUUUCAAACGGUAUGAACAACGUUCGCCAACCCGCCUCAGAGUGGCGUGGUGGGUAUAAUUAUUUUUGUUUUAAAACAUUGUAUGUAUUUUAUUUACAUAGUUGUUUUUAAUCUACUGUCAGCUACGUCUGCGACUUCGUUCGAAUUUUAAAGACUUUCGUACAUAGUUUUUCCACCUGUUUAUUCCUCCCCUUUAAAGCCUUUGUAAUGCUAGCCACUCGCCAUCCAAUAAGUUCAUGUGCCGGCAGCGCUAACGACAGGUUAAGGUAAGUAAUGUCAAGUAAAAAUGUAUUAUUUUAAUUAGGAGCUCUUUUGAAACAUCAGGUGAUCGGUCGAAAAGUUACGUAACUCUUUUUGGCAUCUAUGAAGUGCAGGCAUUGAUCACUCAGGAGUCUGACUAGUCAUAUACAAAAACCAUACGUAUAUACAUAAUAUAUUCCUAUAUACAAUUUUUACAAUCCGACUAGUUCUAGUUUCAGAGAUUACCCCAUUCAAACAAAGAAACAUUCGAAUUUUCCGCUUAAAAUAUUGACAUAUACAGAUUUUACCGCAUUGUGUAAGCCAGUUUUAAACAAUAGCUGAUAAUUCUUAUACCAAAACAAAACAAAGAGAAAUCAGGUUUGGUUUUUUUCAAGCUUCUUCAAAAUGCUUUAGGAAACGGCCGAGGCGCAUGAUAAGACAGAUAAAAUAGGUAUUAAGUCCACGAAACACCUCGAUAGGGCCCGCUAAUUACGUUUUUAAUUAUUCCAAAAUUGCCUCCCCUAUUAGUUUAUCUUGCGGACGCCAUUCCGAGCUAUUAGCUGCAUAUUUGUGAUAAAACAGCAAUUAGGAAAAUUCCAAAGUUUUCGGUCGAUAACGUACUUCUUUGUUAGGUUUAAUUAAACAGCACGUUAUGCUAGCCACACACCAUCCAAUAAACCCACAUGCCUACAGUGCUAACGGCUUGAUAUCUACAAAAACUGAUCGUCUGUUAGUCGCGAUCUGCAUGUGUCAUACACAUAUAUAUUUUUUUCAUUAAAUAUUAUUUCCAAGGACUAACCCUCAUCGGAAAGCUCAAUUAAAUUUUCAUGUUUUUAUGGAUAACUAGCAAAUGACCCGGGGUUUCACUCGCGCAGUGCGCGUUCCUGUGGGAAAGCUGGGAUAUUUUUUAAUUUAGAAAUAGGGGGAAUUUAGCCAACGAAACUAACAAAAAACGUGGCUUUCUAUUGGUAAAAGAAUAGUCAAAAUUGGUUCGGUAGAUAGAGUUAAGAUAGAUGGGGUGAUAACCCCUACAACCUCACAAAAUAUACCUCCUUUUACCUAAUAUUAUACUAAUAGCAUUAACAACUGAGUCUUAGGGCCAUAAAUCAUUUCUCUAUAUCUAUCUCGCUUGCACUUAUGGGUCUUAUGGAGCCGUCUAGUGAAGGGUGUAACAAUGAAAGACAUAUUAUCGAUAAGUAAAGUUUAUUAUCGUAUCUUGUUCACAAAAUUAAAAAAAUUAACAAUAUUUGAUUUAAUAUAAUACAUAUUUCAUAUUAUAUAAUUAUUAACUAAAUAAAAUUAAUCUUCAUCUGAGUCUUCAUCAUCAGAAUCUUCGUCUUCUGCCAAAUUUAUUAUAUAUUAGUAUCCAUAGUGCGCAACGAGUAACACAUGAAUGUAUUUAUUUAAUUGCAGUAAACACAUUUAUAGCAAAAAAAAUACGCAAUGCAAUUACAUUAGAAACCGACCAAUCAGAAUCGUCCAAAUCAUUAUUGACUCAUCAUUAGCACGUGCGCAGGUAGCCGUUUAUCGAUAAUUAGGGUGCGCAGGUAGGCGCGCUGCACAUUCCUAUCUUUUUUGACUUUUAUGACCGGACGACUCAGAUGAUAAUGCGCAUACUAUAGUAUAGAUAUGCCUACAUAUACGGUGUGGUUUUCAAGAUUUACUUAAAUGAUGUACCUACACUUGAGAAGCUACAAACGUUGAUGUAUAUUUUUUUAAAGAUUUUUUUUUAAUUUUAAA